GGUCUAUUCAAAGGUAAGCGGAGACCAACCUCCUGAAACAUCCACAAUCGAUGUAAGCUCGAAAGAAUUUUACGGUGAAGGGUAUGAUGACAGUGACAAGAGAAUUCCUGACAUGACCAUAAUCAACAAGCAGCUCGGUAAGUUUAGGUUUAGGUUUCCAUUUCAUCGUGUCGGUUGUUGUUCCCACUUGAUCUUCAACGUUUUGUUAAUUUAUGCAGGAUGGAAUCCAAAGACUUCGCUCUGGGAUCUGCUCGAAUCGACACUCACCUAUCAGCACAGGACAUAUGCAGAAGCCAUCAAGAAAGUGAUUGCACAACCAAUUGCAAGUUAGAAGGUUUAAACAAAAACAUCAAUGGCAAUGCCAGAAGGGUAGUGAUACAUACCCAAGUACCUUACAUUAUAUAUUACUGUUUUUGAAUUUUUACAUAUAUGGUAAAUUUAAUGUAGAGCUUUGCAGUGGUAAACAAGUUAUGGCAUUUUUCAUGUAUAAAGGAAAAGU
rnacentral:lncRNA from 1 species